AAUUGCUAGUAAUGGCAGGUCAGCAUACUGCCGUGAAUACGUUCCCGGGCCUUGUACACACCGCCCGUCACACCAUGAGAGUUGGGAAUACCCGAAGCCUGUGAGCUAACUUUUAGAGGCAGCAGUCGAAGGUAGAAUCAAUGAUUGGGGUGAAGUCGUAACAAGGUAGC
rnacentral:rRNA from 1 species